rnacentral:rRNA from 1 species
GACGAACGCUGGCGGCGUGCUUAACACAUGCAAGUCGAACGGGUCUGCCCUGUUUUUUGCGGGGUGGGUCAGUGGCGAACGGGUGAGUAACACGUGAGUAACCUGCCCCUCACUUCUGGAUAACCGCUUGAAAGGGUGGCUAAUACGGGGUGUUCUGGCUGUGCCGCAUGGUGUGGCUGGGAAAGAUUCACUUUUGUGGUGUUUUGGUGGGGGAUGGGCUCGCGGCCUAUCAGCUUGUUGGUGGGGUGAUGGCCUGCCAAGGCUUUGACGGGUAGCCGGCCUGAGAGGGUGGGCGGUCACACUGGGACUGAGAUACGGCCCAGACUCCUGCGGGAGGCAGCAGUGGGGGGUAUUGCACAAUGGGCGGAAGCCUGAUGCAGCGACGUCGCGUGAGGGAUGGAGGCCUUCGGGUUGAGAACCUCUUUCGCCGGUGAAGAAGGUCCUGCUCUUUGUGGUAGGGUUGACGGUAGCCGGGUUAUGAAGCGCCGGCUAACUACGUG